rnacentral:lncRNA from 1 species
GGUGUUGUCGUGCCGUCUCACCCCUCAAGGGUGGUUGCCGGGCGAAAGCCUAGUCUUCUCUCUUUUGAAACCUUGGUGGACGGUGGCGGUGGUUUUCGUCACUUCUCUCCUUGGAGUUGUCAUUUAGGCAUCCCCUUGCUGAAACCACUCGAGCAAUUGGUGCAAGCACACUCUAGAUUUUUCAUCCUCUUGUGGUGGCGUCCUAGUUUCUACAAGUUGACUACGUCGGAGGGCCUAGGGGGAGAGGUGCUCCAUCUUCUCUCUCACCCUCUCUCCCUAAAUCCUGAAGACGUGGAUAGAGUUGGGCUUUGUGGUGGUUGUAAGAGCCGGCGGUCGGUCACGCUUAGCGGCGAUCGGUCCGGUGCUAGCCUUCUCCCGGACCUGUGUGUUGGUGCUGUUGGUGUGUGGGUGGUGGGUUAUAAUUUUAUAAUUGUUUUCUGCUCUAUCAAUAAUCGCACCGUCUCAUGUGAGUCGUUAAAAAAAACUAGUUAA